GCCUAACACAUGCAAGUCGAACGAAGUAGCAAUACUUAGUGGCAGACGGGUGAGUAACAUGUGGGUAUCUACCCUUUGGCCUGGAAUAACACGAGGAAACUUGUGCUAAUACCGGAUAAGUCUUUACGGAGAAAGCUUUAUGCACCAUUGGAUGAGCCUGCACUUGAUUAGUUUGUUGGUGGGGUAAUGGCCUACCAAGACUGUGAUCAAUAGCUGAUUUGAGAGGAUGAUCAGCCACAUUGGGACUGAGACACGGCCCAAACUCCUACGGGAGGCAGCAGUGGGGAAUCUUGCACAAUGGAGGAAACUCUGAUGCAGCGAUGCCGCGUGAGUGAAGAAGGCCCUUGGGUUGUAAAGCUCUUUCGUCGGGGAAGAAAAUGACUGUACCCGAAUAAGAAGGUCCGGCUAACUUCGUGCCAGCAGCCGCGGUAAUACGAAGGGACCUAGCGUAGUUCGGAAUUACUGGGCUUAAAGAGUUCGUAGGUGGUUGAAAAAGUUAGUGGUGAAAUCCCAGAGCUUAACUCUGGAACUGCCAUUAAAACUUUUCAGCUAGAGUAUGAUAGAGGAAAGCAGAAUUUCUAGUGUAGAGGUGAAAUUCGUAGAUAUUAGAAAGAAUACCAAUUGCGAAGGCAGCUUUCUGGAUCAUUACUGACACUGAGGAACGAAAGCAUGGGUAGCGAAGAGGAUUAGAUACCCUCGUAGUCCAUGCCGUAAACGAUGUGUGUUAGACGUUGGAAAUUUAUUUUCAGUGUCGCAGGGAAACCGAUAAACACACCGCCUGGGGAGUACGACCGCA
rnacentral:rRNA from 1 species